UAGCUCAGCAUUCAAGAAGUUUCUUGUAUGGUUAUCCAAUCUAUAUGUAUUAUAUAUUUUCAAGUUCUCGAUUUAUAUUUGUUGCUGUUUAUUUCUUGUUCUGUUUGACAUGAAGAAGGGAUUUCGGACGAUCUGUCAAUGUAAAAAAUGGGUAUUGCUAACAUCUAUUGAUUACUGAAUAUCCCUCAAUGCUACAGAAA
rnacentral:lncRNA from 1 species